rnacentral:rRNA from 1 species
CUACAGUAGCCAGAUGUGGAAACGGGGUAGGACAGAUGGGGUAGGGGAGCUGUCGCCGGUGUUGGAAGAGGGGCAGUGGGGCGACUCCUUGGCAGAGUAUGGUAGGUCGCUUCCUCGGUCUGCAGGUUGCGGGGCGGCCCCUCAGAUUGUAGAGUACCUCCCCUUGGAGGCCGUGGCGACGGGAGGCAGAUCUGGGCCGGAGGCCGUGGCGGCGCGAGACAGGUCGUAGUCUGGAGAGGUGGUGGCGUGAGGAUGGUCAGAUCCAGAUGCCGUGGCGGCGCGAGGCAGGUCAGAGUCGGGUCGGUGGCGGCGCCAGGCAAGUAGAGGACGGAGCAUAUGGCGGCGUGAGCAAAUCGGCCGGCAAGGUGGGGGCGGGGGC